rnacentral:rRNA from 1 species
GCCUGAGCUUGUCGGUGUACGGUGGAAUGUGUAGAUCCCUUGAAGAACCCAAUGGCGAAGGCAGGUCUCUGGGCCGUUACUGACGCUGAGGAGCGAAAGCGUGGGGAGCGAACAGGAUUAGAUACCCUGGUAGUCCACGCCGUAAACGGUGGAUGCUGGAUGUGGGGCCCGUUCCACGGGUUCCGUGUCGGAGCUAACGCGUUAAGCAUCCCGCCUGGGGAGUACGGCCGCAAGGCUAAAACUCAAAGAAAUUGACGGGGGCCCGCACAAGCGGCGGAGCAUGCGGAUUAAUUCGAUGCAACGCGAAGAACCUUACCUGGGCUUGACAUGUUCCCGACGGUCGUAGAGAUACGGCUUCCCUUCGGGGCGGGUUCACAGGUGGUGCAUGGUCGUCGUCAGCUCGUGUCGUGAGAUGUUGGGUUAAGUCCCGCAACGAGCGCAACCCUCGCCCCGUGUUGCCAGCGGAUUAUGCCGGGAACUCACGGGGGACCGCCGGGGUUAACUCGGAGGAAGGUGGGGAUGACGUCAGAUCAUCAUGCCCCUUACGUCCAGGGCUUCACGCAUGCUACAAUGGCCGGUACAACGGGAUGCGACGCGGCGACGCGGAGCGGAUCCCUGAAAACCGGUCUCAGUUCGGAUCGCAGUCUGCAACUCGACUGCGUGAAGGCGGAGUCGCUAGUAAUCGCGAAUCAGCAACGUCGCGGUGAAUGCGUUCCCGGGCCUUGUACACACCGCCCGUCAAGUCAUGAAAGUGGGCAGCACCCGAAGCCGGUGGCCUAACCCCCUUGUGGGAUGGAGCUGUCUAAGGUGAGGCUCGUGAUUGGGACUAAGUCGUAACAAGGUAGGCGUACCGGAAGGUGCGGCUG